UCCUGACGCAGAGCAGUGUAGGGAGAAGACUGCAGGCCGGCGCUGGACGUGAUGGCUGGCUCCUUGGUGACAGUGGCUACCCCCUGAGGCGAUGGCUCCUCACCCCAUUUACGAACCCGCAGAGCGAGGAGGAGGUGCGCUACAACAUCACCCAUGCGCGCGGGCGCUCCGUUGUGGAGCGAGCCAUCGGCCUCCUCAAAUCACCAGGACCCCGACACACAGCCGCCACCUCGACAUGAGGAACACCAGCAGGGCGCAAGGCUCCGUGAACGCGUCAUGCAGCGGAUAACAAGACAACACAGUGUCAGUCAGGACGCGGCCACUGGCAGGAACGCCAUGCGCUCUGGUGCUGGUUCUGGGGACAGCUAAGCCUGCAGCCGCGGUGCCAGACCACGACGUGCCCAGAACCUCCUCGUCGUCCGACGCUUCCAAGUGCAGGAUGAGCCGAAGAGGAAAAAAGAAAGUGUUCUGAUUAA